UACGUAGGGUCCAAGCGUUAUCCGGAUUCACUGGGCGUAAAGCGUGCGUAGGUGGUCUGUUAAGUGAGAUGUAAAAGCGUGUGGCUCAACCACAUUGUUGCGUUUCAUACUGGCAGACUAGAGGACGGCAGAGGCAGGUGGAAUUGGCAGUGUAGCAGUGAAAUGCGUAGAGAUUGCCAGGAACACCAAUGGCGAAGGCAGCUUGCUGGGCCACUCCUGACACUGAUGUACGAAAGGCGUGGGAGCGAACAGGACUUAGGAAACC
rnacentral:rRNA from 1 species